rnacentral:rRNA from 1 species
ACGAACGCUAGCGGGAUGCCUCAAACAUGCAAGUCGCACGAGAAAGGGGGCAACUCCGAGUAAAGUGGCGCACGGGUGAGUAACACGUAGUUAACGUACCCUCACGCUGGGGAUAACUCCGGGAAACCGGAGCUAAUACCGAAUAGUCUGAACGGAUCUGCGGAUCUGUUCGGCAAAGCCGUAAGGCGCGUGAGGAUCGGGCUGCGGCCGAUUAGCUUGUUGGUAGGGUAAUGGCCUACCAAGGCGACGAUCGGUAGCUGGUCUGAGAGGACGGCCAGCCACACUGGAACUGAAACACGGUCCAGACUCCCACGGGAGGCAGCAGUUGGGAAUAUUGGACAAUGGGGGCAACCCUGAUCCAGCAAUCCCGCGUGAGUGAUGAAGGCCUUCGGGUCGUAAAGCUCUUUUAGCAGGGAAGAAGGGAAACUUGACGGUACCUGCAGAAAAAGCACCGGCUAACUACGU